GGGGAGUACACGUGGGCAACUGCCCUGCACUCUGGGACAAGCCCUGGAAACGGGGUCUAAUACCGGAUGACACUCCUUCUCAGGCAUGGUGGAGGGGUUGAAAGCUCCGGCGGUGCAGGAUGAGCCCGCGGCCUAUCAGCUUGUUGGUGAGGUAGUGGCUCACCAAGGCGACGACGGGUAGCCGGCCUGAGAGGGCGACCGGCCACACUGGGACUGAGACACGGCCCAGACUCCUACGGGAGGCAGCAGUGGGGAAUAUUGCACAAUGGGCGCAAGCCUGAUGCAGCGACGCCGCGUGAGGGAUGACGGCCUUCGGGUUGUAAACCUCUUUCAGCAGGGAAGAAGCGAAAGUGACGGUACCUGCAGAAGAAGCGCCGGCUAACUACGUGCCAGCAGCCGCGGUAAUACGUAGGGCGCAAGCGUUGUCCGGAAUUAUUGGGCGUAAAGAGCUCGUAGGCGGCUUGUCGCGUCGGUUGUGAAAGCCCGGGGCUUAACCCCGGGUCUGCAGUCGAUACGGGCAGGCUAGAGUUCGGUAGGGGAGAUCGGAAUUUCCUGGUGUAGCGGGUGAAAUGCGCAGAUAUCAGAGGAACACCGGUGGCGAAGGCGGAUCUCUGGGCCGAUACUGACGCUGAGGAGCGAAAGCGUGGGGAGCGACAGAUAGAUACC
rnacentral:rRNA from 1 species